UGCAGAUUUCCGGUUGCAGAUUUCCGGUUGCAGAUUUCCGGUUGCAGAUCCGGCGCAUGAGACACGGGUGUUAGCCGUUCGGGCUUCCAGUGGGGUUUCAAGUAAAAAAAAAACUGAGCACGGUGGCUACAUCAGAUUGAUUUAAAUGAGCCACCCUACUGUAGGGCCACGAACGGUUCAUCACAAUCAAGUACAACAGAGAAGGAGACCUUCUGUUUUCCGUCGCUAAAGAUCGGAACACACAGGUUCGAUUUCAGUGGCAACAUCAUCAUGUUUUCCACAGAUAAGAAGAUGGGCUAUCAGUGUUUCAUGAACUUGUUCGCCCAGAGGGAUCCACAGAUCGAUUAUUCUAAAGCCAAGGUGCACAGCAGGCACAUCAACAACAUCAAGGUGCCAAGGAUUCAACUAAGGUCCCAUCAUCAGGAGUGGAACAACUUGGUUAAACCUCUUCUUUUGGCCUGAAGCAAGAUGGAAUAAAGACAACAUUCCAUACAAAUGCUCCCAAGAUGACUACACCAUGUUCAAAGUGUUUAGCACUAGCAUAUUACAAAACACUUCAAUUAACCACUACAAUCUACUUAAGCAAAACAAUCAUUUGCUUUGUGCCACUAUUUGGACAAAGUCAAAAACAACUCUCCAUCUAGCACAAACUUCAGUGUCCUUCUAUGUCCUUCUCUUCCUCCUUCUCUUUCACUCCUGCAAAGACAAAGUAAAUGCAUAACACUGCUACUUGUCAAUCUCGUCUGUAAAAAAAUUAAAUGUUUUUUGGACUUUUAAACACAA